AAAAGGAAUUUACAUUUUGUCAAGAAAAUAUAGACAAAGUCCUACAAUGGAAACAACCUAAGAAUUGUAAAGAAU
rnacentral:misc_RNA from 1 species